CUCACUGGUAAAAUGAAUCUGCCCAAAUUCGUCGAGUAAAUGGAGCGGAAAACAUGAGACUUUUUUUUUUUUAUCCGUCCACUAAAAAUUUGUUCCUUGGAUCAGCCUUGAGUGGUAAGUGGAAGUCAAAAAUAGAAUUAAAAUUAAUCUGUUCCGAAUCAGCUCGACGAGAAGAAGGGCAGAAGAUGGGGAACCCUUCCGUCCCAAGUAGGGAUGCAAACGGUGCGGAUCUGGGGACGGGAGCCCCGCUCCGCCUCCCGCACCGUCUAGCAAAAUUCCGCCCAGCCUUCUGUCCCGAAUUCGUGACGGAUUAAAAAAUACAUUCCAUAAUCCACACCGUCUCGUAACCCGGCUCCCACCGGUGCCUCGAAUCCGCCCCGCCAACUAAUAUUUUUUUAUAAAAUUAUAAUAUUAUUAAUAUUUAGUAAAAAUAUAAAUUAAUAAUUUUUAAUAAUAUUAUAUAUAUAAUUUAAUAAUAUCAAUUAUAAAAAUAAAAAAUAUCAAUCAUAAUUCAAAACAAAAUUCGAAAAUUGCAAAUACAUUAGAAAUACGAGUACUAACUUAUUUGUAUUUUGAAUUUUUUUGUAAAUAUAUUAUUUUUUAGAAAUAUUUUUUUAAAAUAUAAAUGACUUUCAGGGCGAAUUUGGGAGGAUCAUGAUGGGGCGAAUUGGGAGUGGGUCAAAAUUUCUCCCGUUUUCUGUCCCGAAUCUGUCUCGGAUCGUAAAAUUUACACCGUUUCCCACCCCGAAUCCGUUUAUUUUCUCUCAUUUAUUGCCCCCGUCAGGGCGGGAGCUCCACGAACUCAGAUCCGUUUGCAUCCGUAGUCCUAAGAUCCGUCUCAUGUGCAUCCCUAAUUAUAAAUAUAACAUAGUUCUAGACGCAUGCAGUUAAAAAUGCAACAAUUAUAAUUGCAUGUAUCUUAUUUAACUGGAUAUGGUAUAAAGUGCUGCAGGUAUAAAUAUUUUAUUUGAUUGUAUGUAGUUGAGAAUUACAUUUACUAACUUUAAUUAUUUUAUAUGUGAAAUUGUGAGAUCACCUUUUAUGUACUGAAGGAAAAAAAAAUAUUUAAAAAAUUAUUGAGAAGGUAAGUUUAUUUUUAGUUUAAAAUUACUCUCUCUAAAUGCUACAGUUGGAAAUGCAGUCAAUUUGGAUAUAGUUCCAACUGCUGCAUCCGUGUCUUCUUAUGCAAUUUUAACUGUAGCAGUUGAGUUCAAAUAUAUCAAAACAAAUGCCAAAUUUGAAUCAAUAUACAAUAAUUAUAACUACAUACAAUCAAAUAACACUUCAGUGUGAGAAUAUACAUGAAAUAAAAUAUUUGAGACUAGG
rnacentral:lncRNA from 1 species